UGUAAGUUCUGUUAAAAUAUUUAAUAAUUGUAAAUUCUAAGUUUAUAAACCAUGACAGUGCUUGCAAAGUCAGAUUCCAAAAUAUCUUUCUCAGUUUUAAAAAGCUGAUGCAUUUGCUAUGUCAAAAUGAUUUCUGGUCCAGUGGGCUACGUUCUGUCCCUGGGAUGCAUACACAGAUUUUUUUGUUGAGCUCAGAGGGGAUCAUUUUGUGUGAAUGUGUCAAAAACUGGGAGCUGGGUAAGUGUUCAGUGGCAGGUAAUGCAGUUUUAACUCUAAAAGCUGUGGCAGACUUGGAGCUAACUCACAUGAACUUGUGCUGCCUGCAAUAAUUGACUUUCUGAAAUAUUGUUGAACAAGAGAACAUUUCUUCCCUUUAGUGAAGAGUUGAAUAUAAAAGCACUCCAGACUCAUCCCUUCUUUCUACAGUACUUCCCCUGUGCAGCACAACUGUCUUCUAAGGUAACUAUCUGCAAGUAAUCCAUUGCAUACAUCACUGCAAAGUAGACUUGUCUAAUAUGUUAGGAGUCAAGCUGCUUUAUUUCUAGUACUAGUAUCUCUAACAUUUUUGUUAUUGCUGAGGAUGUUCCUGUUUUUAAAAAUGCUAACAAUCCCAGUCUUUUCUUUUCCUUUUUUUUUUUUUAAUUGAAUGGGAACUUGAAAAGGUAAAUUAUGAUAUGAGCGAAGCAAAAGGCAAACUCUACCUCAGGAUGGAGAAAAGGGAUUUCAAUGUUUCAGCAAAGCUAACUUUGACUGGAAGCAGCUACACUAAUGCCAUUGAAGUGGCACAGACCAUGGCCCAGUUAAAAAUUUUUCCAAGGCAACUUGUCUUGAUGACAAUUUACCAAAAAGGCAACAGAACUCAUCUGCUGAGGCACAUUGCCCUGUGGGAUGGCAAAGAGAUAAAACUAACAGGCACUUACACUGGACUCUUCCCAAAGCUGCCUGGAGGUCAUGGCAUUCAGGUGGAACUUCUCCAUCCUCUCUCCAUCCCCUUUCCAUGGCAUGCCUGGGCCAACUUAUAUGUGAAACACUCAGCACGCAGUCACCAGGAUGUUCUUACUGUCAUUUGGAACGAGAAGGACAAGAUAUCAGUGUCAUCUUCUCUGAAGAUUGGAAGACACCGGACAAGUUACAGAGCCACUGUUGCCCACCCAUUUAAUUACACUCUGAAGCAACUGGAGGUGCUUUCCCUGUCAGAAAGAAGGGGCAGAAAGUACAGCCAGCAGCUGCAGGUCUCAGGGAAUGCUGGGCAGCCUGCUCACCUCCGACUGGGGCUGGAGGACAAAUCCAAGAUGGACAUCACUGCCUGGGGUGGCUGUGUGACACUCUCUGCAGGCCAGCUUCAGAGAAUAUUAAGCAUGGAACACCUGCAUGCAUGUGGGUCUCUAGAGCAAAGACCAACGUUGUUUAAUGAAUACCUAGAUCUGAACUGGGAUGACAAAAAAUUCAAACACAAUUUCACAUAUGAGAGAAAUCAACUCUUGUAUCCUGAUAAGUUUCAGUUAGAAGCUGUUCUGGAAAAUAUUUUCCUGACCCCAUGUGCCAAACAGCAGAUUCUGGGUAAAAUAGAAACAAACUACUACUCUUGCCUGGAUUACUAUAUGAGCUUUGAGUUCUGUGACCUUCCAAAUGUUAUUGUUUUAUCUGGAAAGCACCAGCUCAAGAAAGAUGACAUCAUUUUGCAGUCAGAGGGCAGAUUCCACUUUGCUGAUCAUGGGAGAGAUGAGGGGUUGAUUGGAAUAUUCAUAAAGAAUCAGAGCACUGCUGAUGUGAAGAACUAUUCUCUAGAAAUUGAAUUAAGAGCCUUUGAAGAUAUUUGGCUAGGCCUGACAGGAACUGCUGCUUCCUCAUCUGUCCAGAGCCAAAUCCUGGUAGAGGGGAUUAUUGAUCAGAAAGAGAAAGUAAAAGUAGCUGCGUCCAAAGGAAAGGAGUGUUUUCAGUACUACAUGGGGUAUCUGCAAGGGGAUUUGGAAGAAGGAAUGGAAGUCAGUGCUUGUUCUGAUGGGAAACACAUGGCUGCCAUUAACACCUAUCUCAGCAUCAAUGGUAAAAGGCAGGAAAACGUGGGACAAGUAACUCUAACAGCUGCUAAUGGAAGUUUGAGUUUUCUGGCGCAUGGAUGCGGGGAUCCAGUUCUUAAGGCUGAGAACAAACUUAAUGAAAUUGGGAGCCUUUUGAAAGCCACACUGACUGAGAAGAUAAAGAAGUUUGAUGGAUACCUGUGGAGAUUCAGGAGAUCAGUACAGCAUGUUGGUUUCCUGUCUGAAGCAGCUGGCUGGCCUUCAAUAGCCUUGCAAAGGGCAGCAGGAUUCCUGCAAAGUGGGGUUACAGCUGUCACCCAGGUGUGGAAGCAAAGUGGAAUUGAGCACAAUCUGAGAAGCAGGAUUCCACUUUACUUGGAGAAAAUUCAAGAUGUUGUCCAGCAAAUGCAGAAUGAAUUACAAAAGCCAUUAGCAACUUUGAAAGAAGCCUACUACGACGUAACCUUGAAGCCACUGGAUGAAGUCUGGAAAGAGAAGACAGAAGAGCACAUGAAGAAAAUCCAGGCUUUCUUACCCAAGAUUGUAAAAGAUGUGUGGCUAAUGGAACCAAUUCAGAUGGCAUUAAAGGUUGUGAAAACAGGCUUGGAUAUGGCUACACAGCAGGUGCUCAGGUGGGCAGAGGCCAGGUUUUCCAGAGCUGUGAGCAGGAUCCGGAAGCCCUUGCUGAACCUGUACAGUUUUUCACCCAGGAACUGCACGGUGGCAGGAAAGCUGCCAGUACCACCUAAAGCAGAUCUGUCCCUGCAGCUGGCAAAUGUUACCACUUACCUCAUUGGAGAAAAACUAAUGAGGCCUCUGCAAGACCUCUAUAACCUCAACAUACUUGCAGAGUACUACAGAAUCAAAAGGAGGAUGAUGGAGAGCCCCUUUGAAUAUCAUGCUAUGUUAGUGGGGACCAAGCAUCUUGUGACUUUUGAUGGAAAAAUGUAUGAUUUGGCAUCUAAGUGCAGUGUACUUCUUGCCAAGGAUUUUGUUCACAGUGCUUUCACUGUAAUACUAAAUGAGGAAACCAGGAACUCCAGAUCACUGUAUGUGGAGAUUAAUCAGACUGUGGUCACUAUCUACCCACGACUAAAGAUAUCCAAGAUGUAUAACUUCUCCUUUACGGAAGAGAACUGCCAAGUCCUGGAUCAAUCCCUUGAAAACAGUACCAUGAAUUCAAGGCAAGGAACCAACAAAAUAGAAUUAUCUGAUCAGAAAGGAGUUUCUGUCUCUUGUGACUUUCAGUAUGAUGUCUGUACUGUCACUCUGGCUGGGUGGCACCAUGGUGUUUCAGCUGGGCUUUUUGGUACCAAUGAUAAUGAAGCUGGAAACGAAUGGAUGGUGCCUAAUGGUUCCUUCACUGACAACGUGAAAGAGUUCACACAGAGCUGGCAGGUAAAUAAGUGCAGUCUUGUACAAAAGAAAGAGAAGCCAUGCCCAAUUACAGCUAAGCAAAACAUCUGUAAAGUGUUCUUUGAAGAACCACAUUCACUUCUUAGGAACUGCUUCAAAGUUGUGGAUCCUGAGCCCUUCUACACCAUGUGUACACAGGACACCUGUGACUCCCCAGCCUUGGGGGCUGCCUGCAGCUUAGCAGCAGCUUUUGUUCAUUUGUGCAACAGGAAUUUUGUCCCUGUGGAAAUCCCUCCACAGUGGUAAGUUUCAUUUCUUUUACCACCCUGAAUAUUCUGACUGCUUUGCUCCAGUACUUUCAUGUCUGUAAUGCAAGAACACAUGAGAAAAGGAAACUAAGGAAUCUCACUGUGGCCAUGAGCAAAACUCAUCCUAAUCCCAGAAAUGCUCUUCUUGCCUCUUGGCUACCUCCCCUUUCUGCUGUUCACUCGUGAGCACACCAGAGCCCACCCACUGCACACUCUCUACUGCCUUUCUUAUUUUGUCCUAAGGUGCUGUGUAACAGGGGCAGAAGGAUACCUGCAGAAUACUGUGUAAUGUCCCCAGGAGUUCCUCCUCUUGGAUACUAUUUCUUGUUCCUUUUUUGGUCUGAAUAAUGCAUUUGGAUUCAUAUCAACAAUACAUAUACAGACACAAAAUACUCAGACUUAUUUUUGUAUUUUUCAGUAUCUAAUAAUGAAAUUUAUCUGUCUUUUCAACCUAGAAUAUCCAGAUUAUCAAUACUUGUGUUUUAAUGCAGCUGUCAUCCAGAUUGCAUGGUUAAGUGGAUUCCUGGAAUACAGCCAAGGAAGAUGAAAAGCCUAAAUAGAGCAGUAGCAGUUGUUUGAAUUUUUUAUAAUUACAAUCCUUUCCCACUUCUGUAGUUAUUGUGCCAAUUUGUGUACUCCAAAAGUGACUAGAGUCUCAUGUGCUGCUAACUGGAGUUCCAUUAUUGAUACUCUUGUUCUAGUAUUUUUACAAGAUUGCAAUGGAAAUAUUUAAACCAAAUAAAUGGCAGAAUCACACAGAAGAGCUAAUUAUG
rnacentral:lncRNA from 1 species